NNGUAUAUACGUAUAUACAUAUGUGUGUAUAUGUAUAUAUACACACAUAUGUGUGUAUAUGUAUAUAUACA
rnacentral:pre_miRNA from 13 species